UGGAUGGUUAAAAGUAGAUGCCUUUGAAUUGGAAACGAGCGCUACUCAUGAAGUAUGGAAGCCCCGAGAGCUUUCAUCACUGUUUUCAUUAGAGACGGGGAAUGUUCCAGAUAAUGUUAAUGAGAUCACACCGGGUAUCAACAGAUCAGCCAUACCUAUGAUUGAUGAAUCACAUACAGCAAUAAUAAGACUUACUGUUUGUGACCCAGUAAGGGAAAGAGAAGGGAUAAUAAAGAAUGUAAGGAAAGAUGCAAGUGAGGUGCAGGAAGAUGCACAGCCACCUGCACCAGUGUUGUGGGUGCCACAUAAUGAAUCAACUGUGUUGCCGAGCCCCACGAGCAUACAGCAG